rnacentral:rRNA from 1 species
UACGGAGGGAGCUAGCGUUGUUCGGAAAUACUGGGCGUAAAAGCGCACGUAGGCGGCGCAGCAAGUCAGGGGGUGAAAAUCCCCGGGGGCUCAACCCCCGGAACUGCCCCUUGAAACUGCAAAUCUCGAGUCCGAGAGAGGUGAGUGGAAUUCCUAGUGUAGAGGUGAAAAUUCGUAGAUAUUAGGAAGAACACCAGUGGCGAAGGCGGCUCACUGGCUCGGUACUGACGCUGAGGCGCGAAAGCGUGGGGGAGCAAACAGG